AUACGGAGGAUGCGAGCGUUAUCCGGAUUUAUUGGGUUUAAAGGGUGCGUAGGCUGUGCGUUAAGUCAGGGGUGAAAUGCCGUCGCUCAACGACGGAGCUGCCCUUGAUACUGGCGUGCUGGAGUACGGAUGCCGUUGGAGGAAUGAGUGGUGUAGCGGUGAAAUGCUUAGAUAUCACUCAGAACACCGAUUGCGAAGGCAUCUGACGAAUCCGUCACUGACGCUGAGGCACGAAAGCGUGGGGAUAGAACAGGAUUAGAUACCCUGGUAUUCCACGCCGUAAACGAUGAUGACUAACCGUCGGCGAUAGACAGCCGGUGGCCAAGCGAAAGCGAUUAGUCAUCCACCUGGGGAGUACGUCGGCAACGAUGAAACUCAAAUGAAUUGGCGGGG
rnacentral:rRNA from 1 species